UUACCACGGCAAUUGGGAUCUCGAUAACCAUCAUACUUACACACAACAAUCAACACAUAACACUUAGCAUUUUCAACGCAAUUACCACAACGACUCAAAUUCAAAUCACUUAAACAUAAAACUCAAAUCAACCACGACUCGCGUGCCAAGCACCCUAAUGCAAUGCGUAUAUGCCAAAAUGCAUGGACUCGGAAUUCCAAACCAAAACCCUCCUCGAAGGGCC
rnacentral:lncRNA from 1 species